CAGGUCCAGCAGCCACUGGCACAUGGCUCCCGUAUCACAAUAAUCAUCUUUCUGAUUAGAGAAAAAGUUUGUAGAGAGAAGAAACAGCUGAAGCUUACCUGUCACUUAUUCCUGGUUCAUGGAAAAUUACAAAAUAUUCCAUGAAAGAGAGAACUCCGGGACUUAAGAACUAUAAUAUCACCCCUGGGCCCCAAGGUCAACCAGGGAAGAUCCAGGAGUUAGGUCUGCGCAAUCCUUCUCCUGUCAUGUAUUUUCACCACUAUUUGAAUGAACAAUUGCAGUGCUUACCUCACAUGAGGGACUGGGCUCAGGGCUAUGAAUGGACACCUUUGGCCUUGAGGAGCUGAGAGAUUACAGCAAGCACCAGAGACUGCUUCUUUUGGAUUGUGAAGUCACAGCGAUGGCGAGUGUAGCAAUAGGGCGGUUGGCUGACAUUUUGCACCUAAUGCCAAGUUUAUUUCUGCGCUGAUUGUGGACCAGGAGAAUACAGGGUGAGGGGUAACGGUGAAAAGGCAGCUAGAAUGGAAUACGACAGAAUGGGCCCAAUGGUCUCCUUCUGUCUUACUAAACCUUAGUGAUUCCUUGUUGUCCUUACAAAAUGCUCUCUUUGACAUUCAAAAUCUAUAACCCGGUCCUACAAAGCCUGGAAAACAUUGGAUGGGUUUUAACGGAAUGGAUUGGUUUUUUAAGUGCCAACACUAUGGGAUUUUUACCCAAGAAUUUUUCAACUAACUUGGGGGUGAAACUGAAGUUUGGCCAAAAGUACCCUCAGCCCUGAAGUGGCUAGAAUACUGUUAGUAUUGUUACAUUGAUUUCUAUCCAAUAGUUCCAGGGAGGAGAGGAAGAAAAAUGUGUCCAAACCAGGCAAACUGGUGAAUAUACCAUAAAACACAUGAUCAUGGAAUACUUAAAUAAACAUUUAUUUAAAUAAUAAAACAAUAAAAAAUCAGGGGAGGGGGACAAGGCCACUGGGCUUUCCUAGGAACAAAGCCUACCAUGGGCUUUCAAAAACCUUUUGACAAGAUUCCUCAGCAAGAGAGAUGAAAAAUCCCAUCACCAUGGUCUUCACCAUUUUGUUGUAGAUAAAGAAGCUUAUAAAAUAAUCCACAUGAGCUAAAAGAAGGGCUUGCGCUCAUCACCAGAUAUAAGAAGUGGCAGUUGCAAUUCAGUGGAGACAAAUUUGUGAUUAAAUGUUUAGAGAAAAACUCCCAAUUUAUACUGAGUUAUUGUUAGAACCCAGGAAAGAAAGCAGGCCACCAUGCAGACUGAUCCCUUCAGACACUUGGCUCUAAUCGUUAUAAAGAAAGCAAAAUACAUCAAUGAAGCAUUAAAAAAAAUUUGAACAUGUGUACAUGGGACUUGGUCGUCAGCUUGAUGGAAAGUGUUAAAUGACAAGACCAGCUUCCGAGAGGUCCAAAGCCUCAUCUAGGAGGAAAAGAAGAAGGAGAAAGCGGAUGGACCCAAGGGAAGACUGACCUUCCGCCAUUGAUGUCAGGAACAUAACAAGCGCUAAGUGUCCAGGAUACUCUGCUAAGCACUUUGAGAAUUAUGUCAUCUGACCCUCCCUAGCACCCCCACCCCACCAUGGGGGAACUUAAGCUGGCCAAUCACACAGCUCCAAAGCGGGCCAGGUCAGUUUUAGCCUCAGGUGGCUCCUGGUUCCCGGCUCAGCCCACCUCCCCUGCAUCACCUCUCAGAGCCCCAGGAAACAGCCCUGGGAACGCUGGCCCAGGAGCCUGUUCUCAGAACGAGAUGAAAGGAGCUCAUAAAAGAGAAGGCUCAGCAAUAAGCAGAGGGGCUGAUGUAGGGUAGCUCUGAACACUCGGACUGCUCCUUUAACUCAGGGUGAAGGGGGCAGAAAGGAUCCCACAGCCAGAAAUCCCACCCAACAGCCCAAGUUGGAGGGAGUGGGAUGGCUGCCAGGAGCAACACAAUCUAAUUGAACGAAAUAAAAAUAGCAGGGAUGACACGAGGGAAGGAGGAGGGAUGACUGCAGUUGGAGAAGGUCAAGGAAUAAAGGAAAAUUGCCUGCAUCUCUUAGAACCAGACGGUCAAGGAGAAAUAGAACGAUUGGGCCAGUUGCCUCCUACAGGAAACCCCGGAAGAAAAACAAAAAAAAUUCAUGUACUAAAGAGACUAAGUCAAGAUCACACAUGAUGUAGAGAAACCUCACUGUAAAUAAUAUCCUUGAAGGCAACAGACACUAAUUUAGCAAGUAAAACCAAAAAGGGGAGAAAUGGGCUCUCAAUGAAAUAGAGGAUUUCCAAGCAUUUCUGAUAAAAAGACCAGAGCUGCAAAGAAACUCUGAAGUUCAAAUCCGGGAGUUAGGAGAAACAGAAAUGAUGAAGAACUAAAUGAGAAAAACUGCUUCAAGUCCAAUAUGGGGAGAGGCUAGCUAUAUUCAUCAUCAGUGGUCACAACAGAAUUAAACAGAAAGCCUGGGAGCAAUUCUCUUAGAAUUUGAUGA